AGACACUUUAAUUCUUGCUUUACAGCUGGUUGUUGUUUGUGUUUUUUUUUUUUAAUAUCUUGGUAUGAGCUGGUGCAUUACUUGCAACAGUGCUUCAUCAGCCACAGCCAAACUUUGAGCUCCUUGUGCAGUUAGGCAGCCUGUGUCUUGUAAGCCCUGCCCUGUUCACAUCAGUGGAAAAGGAGCAAGUUACAGCUGGAAGCAGUUUAUUUAGUUUCCCAGAUUGGUUUCUGUGGGGUCAUCCCAAGGAAUCCAGAAAUGCACCCAGCCCAAUACCUGAAAUAGAACUUAGUCAUACAUGGAAGAGUCUCUUCAGUCAUACACACACAUGCUGAUGCUUUCCCUGCACCACUAAUGGACAUUUUUGUGGCUGCUGAGCUUUCUGCAUGUAACUGGCCAUUUUAGUGGCAGCCCAGUCACUUUCCCCUGAAAAGCUAUUCCCACUGUAGCUGUUGCCUCAGUGACCUCCAUGUAAGAGGGGUAUCUAGAUCAGCUGUCUGCAGGAAGCAAACCUAGCUGAAUCUGUUAUUGUGAAAUAGGAAUGCUGUAUGACCUUUAAGUGGGCAGUGCACUUAUAGCUGUGUUGCUUACUCCCUGUCCUUGAAAAGGUGCUGGUAAACAAGUAAAGAUACUGGUAAACAAUCAGUUCCUGACAGGCCAGAUCAACUUCAGUUAUAGGACUGAAGAAAGCUUGGUAUCUUCAAGAAAGAGAUUCAGCUUCUUUGCUUCUGUCUUUAGGAUGCCAUGAAGGCACAAGAAGAUUUUCUUUCCCUCUCAAAAUGUUUUGUAUGUGAACAAUCAAAUGUAGGCUCCAACCCAACAAGAAUUCAAAAUAAUGAUAACACAAGAUUGAACUCAGAUUAGCUUACCAAGAGAGGUCUCAACUUAGUUAAGCUGCAUUAACUUGCAUUUGCUGUGGUUCACAAGCAUGCAUGUUGCCUCAAGUGCUGUAACAUGGUCAUGUGUCCAAAUGUAGCAGCCAGAAUAUUUUUAAAGGCAAUGUAAGUGUUGAUCAUAACUAAGGGAAAAUUGCAUUAAAGGUUAUUUUAUACACCUUCAUAAACCUUCAAUUAGAAAAGCGCAUGAACUUUCAUCCAUUCUUGAGUUUUCUUGCUAUAAUCAAGAGGGCAAAGUUCCUUUAAAGAAACAUUCUUACACAGUAUAUAUACCAGACAUUACAGCCUUACACUAGUGAUAGUGCUGUGAAACAGCAAAGUUAACUGGAAGCUGUUUGUAAAAAAAAAAAAAAAAAUUAAAAAAAAAUCCAAACAAACAAACACCCCAAACCCAAACUGAAUUUAGUCUAUCCUUAUGGUCUAGGCUGAGAAAUGCCAAAAAGUAAACAAAAGCAAAUAUUAUUUACUACUUUUAAGAACUAAACAAAAAGAAGUUGCUCUGAAUGCCUUACGCUGCUUUUUCUUUUGCACCAGUGAGCUGAGAAAUCAUCUAGCACUGGCCACAUCUUGCUUUGUUCCCCUUGAUCACACUGUGCUCAUUUGAAGCACUCUCAUGUGGUAGUGAUGUCCUUAAGUAUCAGAACGAACUGCACAUCAUAGGGGCUGCAGCUUAGCCUUUUUCUGCUACUUGCAGAAUAAGCACAAAGACAACUUCUGUCAAGCAGACUUUCAAGAACCUGCUUUUUCCUAACAAUGUCUGCCUUAAAGCAUAGCCAAAAAUUCUCUUUGCAUCACUUCAUAUUGAGGGAAUAUAAAACAAUGCCCAGGGUGGAGAAAAAUCUCUCUCUUGGGCCAGAGGAGAGCCAUCUCAGGUCUUUGUGCUGUCACAGCUCAGCAGAAUAAAAUCAACCCUCCUGGUAGGAUACAUAGUUAAUCUGGACUCCUAUGCACUAGUGUGCUGCAGCUAAUUAUAGCUCUAGUUCAGGACACACAGCUCAUGGCUUGUCCACAUAGAUCUUCCACCUGAACUUUUUGAACCUAGUCUGUGUUUUUAACAGUGCUCAGAGCUCUUUGUCAGUGUGCUUAUCUCCUUUCUCAAGGCCUGUGAUAUAUGUCUUAGCAGGUGUCAAUCCAUGAGUGAUGCCAGAUCUACAACCAGCGCAGCUCUGGAUUUAAUUUUUUGUUGUUAUUUUGCUUACAAAGUUGAGAUUUCAGGAGGGCAGGCAUGUCCUAUUAUCCCCUUAUUAAUCAAGAAAGGGCAUGUCCCUAGAGCUACCAUAGAUAUAUAUGGACCUGAUAAAGAAAGACCAUUUCUCCAGCCUAGUGGGUGAGGCUUAGAGCCUCUUGGAGCAGCCUUAGGACAAGGUAUGAACUGCAUGGCUUGCUAACUUCCAGGAGGCUGUCACAUACAAGAACAGCAUGUGAAGGGAAGCCAGCCCUUACAUCACAGUUAACUGCAGCUUGGAUUUUGUCCUCUCAGAGAUGCGCACAGCCCACAGCUUGUUCACUGACACUUCUGCUAGAAAAUAGGAGGGAAGCAAAAGUGGACGGAAAGAAAGAAGUCUUGAUGAGCUCCUGAGAAUUGUAUUCAGUGCUCCUCAGCCAGCAUGGAAAUUCCUAGAAGAAACUAAAGGAAGGACAUCUUGUCCUGUUCCCCAGGUUAACAUGCCCUUUAAGAAUCAGGAAAAUGUACAGUCUAGCUCCCUGCUGUGUGCAUAGAUCUGGAAGGAGUGGAGACUUCAAACCACUGCUACAAAGUUCACAAACUCAGUGAUGUUUCUCAAUAACAGUAAGUCCUAAACAUACUCUGAAGUGAUGUUGCUGAUGCUGGUUUUUGUGGGGAAGGUACACGUUUUCUUGUGACCAAAGCUGGGUGCUCCAUGUGGACAAGGUCAUUUCUUCUGAGGACUGGUGACUCUCCGGAGACCUUUCAGUCGACUAAGCAACUCCGUAAUGAAGUCCUACAGUGAGAAUUGGUUGAAGAAGGAUGUCAUGUUAAUUCCAGUGCUCACCAGCCCAAAGAAUACUAUAGCACUUGCAUUAUUGCCACAUUCACCUUCAUGUUGAGCAGAAACCAGAAUUUUGACAUGUAUUGAGCAAACCUAUCUUUUAGCUUAGGAAAGGAGACCUUUCAAUGGAUGAGAAGGAUCUAAAAGCUCCUCUACUUACCUUCCCCUGUCUCCCUCUGGAGCAGGCUUGUUUACAUUCUCCUCAGGAGCCAGCCUGCCCCUCUUCAUCCCAGAUACCUGCUUUUUCCACCUUGAGAUGACCUCAAGAUGCUGUUGUCCUCUGUUAGGUUCCACUGCUUCCUGUUGCCUCCAUAACCUCCUGCCUACUUCUACUGCCCUCCCAAUCUAGGGCAAAGCAAGUCAUCCCUCUUGUUGAACCUGUAAAGCUCCAUGUUGUGGAUUGCAAACCAUCUCGGAGCUGUGCCAAUUCUACAAGGAAGUGGCUGGCAGAGAAGAGGUGGAGCAAAACACCCAUAGCACUAAUGAUAACCUGGAGCAGGGGUUAAGGACAAGCAGAGCAGAUAGAUGAGCAGUUAAUGGAGAUAAACCCUGACUACUUUGCUGACACCACCAAGGACUAUGAACUAAACUGGACCAUCUGGUUAUUCCAAGCAGAAGGCAACGAGACUAGUGCAAAAUUUACCUUCUGCAUGACAAGUAACAUCACAAUAAAGGAGUGUGCGGUCUUUCUUCACCCAAAGAGAUAGCUACGUGUCCUUGUAAUUAGGCAAGGUCACUGGAAGUAUUGCAGCUUGUUACCAUCUGUGCUGUGUAGAAGCCCAGCUUCCUCACUUGGGUGGGUGAUCAGGGGUUGCCUGCCACAGCAUGCUCUGGAAGGAAAUGCCUAGGAUCAUACAUACCUUUUCAGUCAGUCCUUUCACAGGAAACUGGUUUGUUUCCUCUGUCUGCUUUCUGCAGAUAGGCUGCUGUGAUCUUUCAAGGGCACUGGAUUCAAGAUCACCAGGGUGAAAGUACGUAUUCUUGCCAAUGGGGCAGCAGUAUCUGUCUGUAGUUAGCAAGUACCAUGCUGUCCUCAAGACACUUUUAUGGCUCAUGAAUCAGUAGAGCAACCUCUUUUCAGUUAUCUCUCUGGGAAUGCAGGGUUCUUGCCUAAGAUCUGAAAUUCAAACACUCUGAGAACUAUUUCCCUAUUGCCAGCCUUGUCUGCUGAAUCCCUGCUAGGAGACUAUCUGUAAUGAUUGUUACAGCAGAGUUUAAUUUCAGUGAUAGUUGUGCAUCCACCUCAUUUUCUGUAUGGUCAUCACUGUAUAGCUACAUAGGCUCGACAAGAUGUGGAGACUGAUGAAUGAUGUCCAAGCACAGUGUUCACAUGCAAUGCAUGUGACUGAAGCAGUGAUGGGGGACUCCAUUUUGCACAGGGAUGCAAUGCAGUGAAGGCAAUUGCUGUGCAGUGCAUGCACUACACUGCAAAGUAUUGGACUUCACUCCUUUGGACAUUGUGAGAGCUUGUGGGAUUUCUUUAACUCUCUAACUCAAAACCAGUACUUGUAAAGUUCACAUGGGGAAAAAAACCCCACAUGUGUAAGACUAACUUGCGUGGCCACUGCUCAACAAUUAUCUGCCCAAUCCAAUCUGAGGGCCAUCCUACAAUCUUGUCACUCAAAACACUAGAGUGGUUUAGGCUACGAAUGCAUUUACUUAACAGUGUGCAAGAUGGUUACAUGAGCUGUAUCACUGUCUAUAGCUUUUCUACACUGAGAACCAAAUGGUAACUCGGCCUGGUCAGCUUAGGAUGUCCAAAACAUGGAAUGAACUUUC